GCUGGGCAUGGUGGCGCACGCCUGUAAUCCCAGCAGCUCAGGAGGCUGAGCAGGAGGAUCUU
rnacentral:sRNA from 1 species